UCUUCAUCUAGGACAAGAUGUGCACCAGGAUAAACAUACAAAGUGGUGUCAGAGCUCCAAAGCUGAAGCAGAAAUAGGGUUUUGGUCCUAAAAUGGACCUGAGCAUAGUCAUGGGAGGCUGAUUAUGUAAGGAAAAUGCUGAUGUUGGGAAUCUCAUCUGUUUGGGUUGUAGUUUCCAAAACACAGUAACAACUACAGUUAAUAGGAUCAGCAGUGGUGUUGGGAAGGCGUGGAAAGCUUGGGUGCUAUGAGUGGGAUUCAUUAUACCACUCAUUGGAUGGUGAAGUCUGAGAUUCUCCUCACCACCCACGGAGAGCAAGGUUCUCUGGCUGACUUUAUCUUAGGACGUGAUGGCUUUCCCUCUGGAGCUACCUCUUUCUCCUUCUCAAUUAGAAAAAUAUCCUGGAAACAACUUGCUCUGGUCUGGACUAUGUUUCCCAUAAACGUAUAAGUGAGAUCAGAUGAUUCUUACUACCCAUGGCAAGGAAACAUGCAAAGUGAGCUACAAAUAAGAGCAAUGGAUGCUAGUCCUUGGCUUGUACUAGUUAAUCCUCCCAUGGAGCUGAUUUUGGCUUUCCAAAUUGCAGCAGAAAUGCAACUGGUAAACAGCUGCAGUGAUUUUUCUUUAGUACUUUGCACCAGGUUGUACUGAGCACAGCAACAUGCUGAUGUUAAGGGAUAUUCUGAGUGAUUUCUAGAGAUAUUUUUUACUCUUGAAGACCAGUAGGAAGACAGUUUAAUCCCUCUCCUAUAAUGACUUGCUUCCUCCACUUGUAUACAAAACUUGAGUUGGCUUUCUUCUCUUUGAGCAUGCUCUCCCUGUAGUCUGUAUCAUGAAAAUACAAAGGCAGUAGUACAGGUCUUCAUGCUUUUGCUGUCCUGCCUCUUUUCUUAAUACUUUCAGAACUAUUUCAGCUUCAUGCUUGUCCCUGCAUUCUUACUCUUAUCUGGGACCUCUACCAGCUGCUUGCAACCAUAUCCUGAUGCCAUCUGGGAUGCUUAGGCUGCAGCAAUAGGAUGACAUUCAUAAUAAUGAACUUCUGUUUCUGCCUUUUUUUCUGGAGAUGAAAGCACUAAGCAACUUCUCUGUGGGCUCUCAGGUUCUUGCAGGCACAUGCUACUAACAGGCUGACUCCCAAAGGCAAAGAUCUUUUCCUGCUCCCAUGGAUUGCUAUGAGAUGUGUGUGCACUCUGCACUUCAGAUUAACAAAUGCUGUAACCUGACAAUGGUGUUUCACAAUGUGCUAUUCCAUUCACUGCAGCCUGCUUAAAAUGAGGAAGGUGGAGGAGUAAGAAGAAAAGACUCCUUUAAAUCUGUAGAGAAGCAUUGGUGGCUGUAAGAGCUAUUUAAAGAAGAAGUAAAGCCACUUUAGCUUGUUGAUCUAUUUCUGCACUGUAAUUUAUGCUGCCAUUCACGCAGUGUCAGAAAGCUAUUGUAAAACGUUGUAUAAACCCACCCUGUAGGCUUGAGGGGCUCUAGUCCAUGGGUCUGCCAACACUAGCAUACUGGUGAUAGGAUAAUAGCAGGUUUCAUUCCUAAAAGUUCUUUAUUUUUGGGGGGCAGGUGGGGGGGGUGUUAAUGUACAAGAGUAAGAAUUUUAAUGAGUCCCAAUAGACCACCCACUUAGCUAUUAGCAAUAGGCAAGCUACAGCGUAUGCAUCCUGGUAGAGGUGAGUUUUGAGGAGAGAUGUGAAAUAUAAGCUAGCAGCUUUCACAAAUGAUUUGUGGAAGGCACUCCAUGAAAUACCACAGCAUUGAGAUAUCUCAGAAGAAAGCCCAGCCUGGGAAAUUGCUUUGGAGUAGCAGCUGGGGGAAAGAUAACAUUUCUUUGAGCACUGCCACUCUCAUGAGAAGGGAAACUAGACUAAAGAUGUUUCAGGAGGAUAAUGUGUACUGUGAGCAACAGGGGAAUAGACAGGACAAUGACAUAAAGGAAAGAUGCUGAGGACAGGAUCCGUCUCAACUAACAUUAAACAUUUAGUCAUCUUGGCUCUUUGUGGUCAGUGGAGUACGAUACUUUGAAGGCAUGAUUCAUCUGACCUAUUUUGGGCUCUAACCUACCUAGGAUGAGGGUAAUUACCCUUUAGACAUGCCUGUUUCUUCCUACUGAUUCCGAGGGGAUCUUCAGACACAUAGAAGUGGUACAGACCACUUCUAUUUUAGACAUGCCAAAGGAGGUGAGACAAAUCCUCCUUUGCACGUGUACUGGAACUGUGAGAGAGGGUAUGCAUGGCGCAUGGCCACACAGCAUCAUCCAAAUCUGGGACAGCAUCCAGUCACCAUCCGUCCUUGUCUCUGAGAGAGACAAGGAACCAGAAAGACAGAGGAUGGAAACCAAGAAAGGAAGAGGUGGGGAAGAGGACAGGAAGAUUUGCUUCAGCCAUGCUAUGCUUCAGCUUCCACCGAAAGCAGCUAUGUCUUUGUUGAUGGAGAUGGAUGAAUCCUAGUCCAUACUCCUGUUUCAAAGCACGGGUUUCUCUCAGUGACUAGGGACAAGGGCAUCCCUGCACAAAAGCAAGAGGCACUCCUAAGGAGGAGAAAGAAAACCUUCAUUUGAAACCGCAGGAAACCAAAGGCUGGGUGUAACCAGCUUCAAAUCCAGACAAGCUUCAGCGUAUAACUUCAUGUGCUACUGUUUUCAUCAUUUAGCAUAUCACAUGGAUGGGUGGCACUGUAAAAUGCACAGAGGAUCACUGUCAGAGGUGCUUUCACUGCCUGUGCAGGUCCAGACCUAAACUUGGGGAUACGAUGGGGAUAUGGUGUAAGAGGACAUGGGUGGAGGUGAAGAGGUGGGGAUGGAUGCACUUUGCAAGUCACCAAGCUCACUUCCUCUGAGAAAGUGGAAAACCUUUUCUGACAAAGAGGUUUCCAUGGGGUUUGAAGGCAAGGUGCAGCUCUGCUGGCCAGCCAUGUGUUAAGGGACCUCUGGUAGGAGAAUAUCUCCUGCUGUGAUCCCACCUAAUCUUGGGAAGCAAUGCAAGCCAGCUGUGGUGUUGCCUCUGCAAGGUGCCUUGCCAGCCAAUAUGCUCCCUUUCCAACACUGUACCCCAUAUCUGAGAUUAGGGAGGACCGAUGUUGAUGUGAGCCCCCAGAUGUCACAAGCUGCCAGUUGCUCAGAAGCCCCUGCUCUGAAUGGUGGUUAAAAAUACGGCCCCAUCUUCCAUGCAAUGCCUAAUCUUGAUUAAAACACUUCCAGGGCUGGGCAGCCUGGGCUGCAUCCUUUGGUCAAUGCUGUCAGUGGCUCUUGCAUUCCCUAAUCCCUGUUAAUAUCACUGCUUGUCAAAGCAGAUUUGUGUCUUUCCUGGAAGACGGCUGCCUAUUUAGUACCAGCUGGGGGAGAAAGAGAUGCCUUAUCAGCCGGUGCCGGGAACAGCGAGUGGCAGACAAGAAAGGCAUCCUGUUUUCUGGGGAGAAGGUGCGGGAGGUGGGUGAGCGUCUGGCUUCUACUAUUAACUCUGGCUGUAAGCACGGCUCCUGCCCUGUCAGGAUGAGACAUAAUCCUCUAUUCUAACCACACACAACCCAUGAACCUCUCGUGGCAGUGUUUGUGGCAGAGGCACGAGCUUUUGUAUCCUGGCCAAACUGGAGGACAGAUUAUGCUCUGUUGACCUAUAUUCCCCUAAGUCAUUUUCAGUUAGUGCAGUAGUUACCCCUUCUGUUUGCACUGUUAAAUUUCUCCCUGCCACAAUGCUGAGCUGAGACUGAAGUGUCCAUGCUAUCUAGGGGAAUUUUGCUGGCUCCUCUGAGGAGACAGGGAAACACCUCCCUAAAACAAGCCCCACGUAUUCUCAUAUGCACUUGGAAUGCCUGUCCAAUUUCUACAGGGAAGCAUGAGACCUGCUCUGGGUGAUGGAGGGAAGAAUCUGGUCCCCAGCCUUGCUGUCUUUUGGUUGAUUCCCUGGGGGCAGGAAACCAAAGCCAGCCUCUGGGGGGGUUCACCUGGGGCCAUCUGACCAGAUGGCACAGACAGCUGUCUGUGACCUGCCAGGACUGCAGAAAUUCAAGCUGGCUUCUGGCCAAAGAAGGGAAGGACUGGCAGAGGCAGUAGGAGGAAGACCUACAAAGGAGAACAAGGGACGGUGUUGUGACUGGGGACUGCAGCUUCUGUGAAAGGUUGGCCACCCUUCCCCACCCCUCAGCAGCUGGGAGAAGAGAGGGAGACGUGAUGUUUUGGAAAGGAAUAGAGAACGUGCCUUCCUUCAUGAGCAAGUUGGGAAAGGAGAAGGUGCCUUCAUGGGGCAGGAAUGAGGACUCACCCUGGCCUCCACUAGCCACUUGCCAAGUGAUUUGGGAUUACUGACCCCCAGCUCAGUGCAGGGCUUGGGGUGCCUAUCAUGGCACAUCAGGUGAGCCACAGCAGUGCUGAUCCUCUGUUUGAAACAGCCCCAGAGGUCCUGGUGGGCAAUAUGGGUAGCAAUGCUGCACUAGGCAGAAGACCACCAGCAGGUUGAGGGAGGUGAUGUUCCCCUUCUCAGCACUGGUGAGGCACAUCUGGAGUGCUGGGUCCAGUGCUAGCCUGCCCAGUGCAGGACAGACAUGGACACACUGGAGUGAGUCCAGCAAAGGGCCAUGAAGAUGACAGGGGACUGAAGCAUCUUUGGUAUGAGGAGAGGCUGUGACUGUUCCUGGGAGGUUCAGUGUGGUCUUGCCAAUGUAUAUAAAUACCUGAUGGUAUUGAUAUACAAACUUUCCCUCCUGCCAGUCUGGCUUUCCUGUGAUUUGUAAUACCCUUGCAUCUGAUGGUUGGGGUUUUUUUUCUGUCUUCUUUUUUUUGGGUGGUUUUACAUUACUUAUUUUUUUCACAUUUAUCAUACAAUUGCAGAUGCAAAACACUCAUGUAUGGGCCUGUCACCAUAGAGUGAAGGUGCACAAAGUCCCAGGCUUCCUUUCCUAACUCUCGUUACUGUUUCAUUCCUCUUCUGAUGUGAAAUGCAGGAAGCUGAUGUCAGUUAUUCCUUCAGCAAGUAGGGACGUUGUAUUUUUAAG